rnacentral:lncRNA from 1 species
GAACUACAGGACUUAAACAGGGCAAUAGUUCUGCCUUUAUAAUUCAUAAGUGACACUUACUUGGUUUUUAUGCUUUAAAGGGUAUGCCUUACAAUGAAAGAAAUGGAAUGAGCAGCUUAUAUAAACUGCAGGGAGGAGUGAGUGUCGCGAGUUAUCCAGGUCCACCAGGACCUCCAGGUCCAAAAGGGGAUCCUGGAACAGCGGGAGACCCAGGACCAAUGGGAUUACCAGGACUGGAAGGACUCCCAGGGGAAAAGGUAGGACUCCUAAAAAGAAGGCAUGAUUUCUUAGCAGCCACUAUUU